rnacentral:rRNA from 1 species
UGGGGAAUCUUCCGCAAUGGACGAAAGUCUGACGGAGCAACGCCGCGUGAGUGAUGACGGCCUUCGGGUUGUAAAGCUCUGUUAAUCGGGACGAAAGGUCUUCUUGCGAAUAGUUAGAAGAAUUGACGGUACCGGAAUAGAAAGCCACGGCUAACUACGUGCCAGCAGCCGCGGUAAUACGUAGGUGGCAAGCGUUGUCCGGAAUUAUUGGGCGUAAAGCGCGCGCAGGCGGAUUGGUCAGUCUGUCUUAAAAGUUCGGGGCUUAACCCCGUGAUGGGAUGGAAACUGCCAAUCUAGAGUAUCGGAGAGGAAAGUGGAAUUCCUAGUGUAGCGGUGAAAUGCGUAGAUAUUAGGAAGAACACCAGUGGCGAAGGCGACUUUCUGGACGAAAACUGACGCUGAGGCGCGAAAGCCAGGGGAGCGAACGGGAUUAGAUACCCCGGUAGUCCUGGCCGUAAACGAUGGGUACUNNUGUAGGAGGUAUCGACCCCUUCUGUGCCGGAGUUAACGCAAUAAGUACCCCGCCUGGGGAGUACGACCGCAAGUUG